rnacentral:rRNA from 1 species
ACGCCGCGUGGGGGAAGAAGGUUUUURGAUUGUAAACCCCUUUUCUCAGGGAAGAAGUUCUGACGGUACCUGAGGAAUCAGCCUCGGCUAACUCCGUGCCAGCAGCCGCGGUAAUACGGAGGAGGCAAGCGUUAUCCGGAAUUAUUGGGCGUAAAGCGUUCGUAGGUGGCGGUUCAAGUCGGCUGUCAAAGACCGGGGCUCAACUCCGGAAAGGCAGUGGAAACUGAACAGCUAGAGUUCGGUAGGGGUAGAGGGAAUUCCCGGUGUAGCGGUGAAAUGCGUAGAGAUCGGGAAGAACACCGGCGGCGAAAGCGCUCUACUAGGCCGAAACUGACACUGAGGGACGAAAGCUAGGGGAGCGAAUGGGAUUAGAUACCCCAGUAGUCCUAGCCGUAAACGAUGGAGACUAGGUGUAGCCUGUAUCGACCCGGGCUGUGCCGUAGCUAACGCGCUAARUCUCCCGCCUGGGGAGUACGCACGCAAGUGUGAAACUCAAAGGAAUUGACGGGGGCCCGCACAAGCGGUGGAGUAUGUGGUUUAAUUCGAUGCAACGCGAAGAACCUUACCAGGGCUUGACAUGUCGCGAACCAGUUGGAAACAGCUGGGUGCCUAAGGGAACGCGARCACAGGUGGUGCAUGGCUGUCGUCAGCUCGUGUCGUGAGAUGUUGGGUUAAGUCCCGCAACGAGCGCAACCCUCGUCCUUAGUUGCCAUCAUUAAGUUGGGCACUUUAGGGAGACUGCCGGUGAUAAACCGGAGGAAGGUGGGGAUGACGUCAAGUCAGCAUGCCCCUUAUGUCCUGGGCGACACACGUACUAYAAUGGUAGGGACAACGGGCAGCCAACCUGCAAAGGAGAGCUAAUCCCUAAAACCCUGCCUCAGUUCAGAUUGCAGGCUGCAACUCGCCUGCAUGAAGGAGGAAUCGCUAGUAAUCGCAGGUCAGCAUACUGCGGUGAAUCCGUUCCCGGGCCUUGUACACACCGCCCGUCACACCAUGGAAGUUGGCCAUGCCCGAAGUCAUUACUCUAACCUCUAUGGGGAGGAGGGUGCCGRAGGCAAGGGCUAGUAGUGG